rnacentral:rRNA from 1 species
AUACGGAGGGUGCAAGCGUUAAUCGGAAUUACUGGGCGUAAAGCGCGCGUAGGCGGUUUGGUAAGUCGGAUGUGAAAGCCCCGGGCUCAACCUGGGAAUUGCAUUCGAUACUGCCAGACUAGAGUAUGGUAGAGGGAAGUGGAAUUCCGGGUGUAGCGGUGAAAUGCGUAGAUAUCCGGAGGAACACCAGUGGCGAAGGCGACUUCCUGGACCAAUACUGACGCUGAGGUGCGAAAGCGUGGGGAGCAAACAGGAUUAGAUACCCUAGUAGUCCC